rnacentral:lncRNA from 1 species
UUAUUGGUUGGAGCCCUAUGAGAGGUAAUCCAAGUCUUUCAUCAAGGAGGCAGCAUCCACCGAGCAGAGGAAUGAGAGUAUCCAAGUAGGAUACUUUGGAA